CUCGCUGCGUGUGUGUGUGUCUGUGUGUAGUCGAGGUUGGGUUUUUUUUUUUUGGCCAACCACCAGCGUUUCUUCCUCGGGUUGUAUGAGACCAACGUCUUCACAGAAUCUCCAAACUUUCGAUUAGGAGAGGCGAGGACCCUAAAACUAAUCAAAGACCUGACUGGACCAACUGGAAUCCGGAUUAUCUUUUCAUUACCCGUUAAUGUAGUAUUUGCCUGCAGGCUGUUUUGAAGACCUCCAGAUCUCCCCUCCUGCUGAGUCUCCACCCUCCGUGUCUCCUCCACCCUCCUCCGCUGCCUCCCCUCCACCACAGACAUGAUCAUCCGGCUGGGAAGACUGACGCCCGGCUACUUCAGACUGCUCCAGCGGCAAGUGGCCGGAGAUGUCCAGACCAAGCCUCACGACCGGGCCGUGAACCAGAUUGCCAUGAUGCUGGCCAUCAUGGGCCUGGGCCUGUCCUACUACAGUGCCAAGCAGAUGACCGAGACGGCCCAGGACCAGCCGCCGCCCUGAUCAGAGCCCCGACGCCAGCCUGAAAUACUCUGAAGACAUCCGCACGACUACAAGAUGAAGACGAUAUGACCGGGUGGGCUGGGACAGAGAAAGUGGUUGAGAACGUAGGCCUGGGCCCGCCAGCACCCUUUCCCCCAUCCAUCACCCUCUCCUGCCCUCACCAACGAUAGUGUUGAGAGGGCUCUAGUCCCUCUGUAAGGACCUGUUGUGUUUUAGUUAGUCCUGCUGGAUGUUGUUCAUCAUGGCCUUUUUUUGGAGAAGCAGAAUUGGCGGUCUAUAUUUGGGAUGGGCGGGGUGGGGGGGGGGGGGGGGGGGGGGGGGGGGUUGGAGGUGUUCAGCUAUAGUCGUUGCUGAGGUUCUGAUAAUGCUGUUCUAAACUGUGAACCUUGCUGGUGGUAUAGCAAGGAAGGCGGGUGGAAUGAUGUGAGGGGGUGAAGUCUGCUGAAGGGAUGCGUGCCGCCUGUAAUCAUUUCCUCAAAAGUGGAGCUCUGGGCAGACCGAUGGCUCUCUUCAGUGUUUUCUAUAUAUUCUUUUUUUUUUUUUUUUUUUUCAAUCACUCUCCACUUUAGGAAAUCCCUGUUGCGUGUCCAGAAUCUAAGCGUGACCUUCUCUCUCGGUCCAUAUUCAUGCUUGUUUGGUAUCUGUAACAGUAUUUGCACAGUAUACGAGUGAAACGUUUUUAGGAAGGACUUUGACGUUGUAUUCAUCACUACUUGUAUAUUUCCCCCUGUUCUGUUUCUGAGCCCUGGGCAGCACACCAGGACUGUCAUUGAAACGUCUUUCUUCAUUGAACUGUGCAUGUGUGUGUGUGUGUGCCCUAAUUUUAACCUAGAAUCUUCGAAUAUUGUGUUUUUAUUGAUGAAUGUAUAUGACUUCGUUUAUGAACUGAUUUAAUAAAGCUGUGACACUUUAA